UCGGGAAUUUUGGGCAAUGGGCGAAGGCCUGACCCAGCAACGCCGCGUGAGGGAUGAAGUAUUUCGGUAUGUAAACCUCGAAAGAAUGGGAAGAAUAAAUGACGGUACCAUUUAUAAGCUCCGGCUAACUACGUGCCAGCAGCCGCGGUAAUACGGAGGGUGCAAGCGUUAUCCGGAUUCACUGGGUUUAAAGGGUGCGUAGGUGGGCAGAUAAGUCAGUGGUGAAAUCUUCCGGCUUAACCGGGAAACUGCCGUUGAUACUAUUUGGCUUGAAUAUUGCGGAGGUAAGCGGAAUAUGUCAUGUAGCGGUGAAAUGCUUAGAUAUGACAUAGAACACCAAUUGCGAAGGCAGCUUACUACACAAUCAUUGACACUGAGGCACGAAAGCGUGGGUAGCGAACA
rnacentral:rRNA from 1 species